rnacentral:rRNA from 1 species
AGAGUUUGAUCCUGGCUCAGAUUGAACGCUGGCGGCAGGCUUAACACAUGCAAGUCGAGCGGGGAGAUGUAGCUUGCUACAUUUCCUAGCGGCGGACGGGUGAGUAAUGCUUAGGAAUCUGCCUAUUAGUGGGGGACAACAUUCCGAGAGGAAUGCUAAUACCGCAUACGUCCUACGGGAGAAAGCAGGGGAUCUUCGGACCUUGCGCUAAUAGAUGAGCCUAAGUCAGAUUAGCUAGUUGGUGGGGUAAAGGCCUACCAAGGCGACGAUCUGUAGCGGGUCUGAGAGGAUGAUCCGCCACACUGGGACUGAGACACGGCCCAGACUCCUACGGGAGGCAGCAGUGGGGAAUAUUGGACAAUGGGCGCAAGCCUGAUCCAGCCAUGCCGCGUGUGUGAAGAAGGCCUUUUGGUUGUAAAGCACUUUAAGCGAGGAGGAGGCUACUUGGAUUAAUACUCUAGGAUAGUGGACGUUACUCGCAGAAUAAGCACCGGCUAACUCUGUGCCAGCAGCCGCGGUAAUACAGAGGGUGCGAGCGUUAAUCGGAUUUACUGGGCGUAAAGCGUGCGUAGGCGGCUUUUUAAGUCGGAUGUGAAAUCCCUGAGCUUAACUUAGGAAUUGUAUUCGAUACUGGGAAGCUAGAGUAUGGGAGAGGAUGGUAGAAUUCCAGGUGUAGCGGUGAAAUGCGUAGAGAUCUGGAGGAAUACCGAUGGCGAAGGCAGCCAUCUGGCCUAAUACUGACGCUGAGGUACGAAAGCAUGGGGAGCAAACAGGAUUAGAUACCCUGGUAGUCCAUGCCGUAAACGAUGUCUACUAGCCGUUGGGGCCUUUGAGGCUUUAGUGGCGCAGCUAACGCGAUAAGUAGACCGCCUGGGGAGUACGGUCGCAAGACUAAAACUCAAAGGAAUUGACGGG